UGAGGAAUAUUGCACAAUGGGGGAAACCCUGAUGCAGCAACGCCGCGUGCGGGACGAAGGCCUUCGGGUCGUAAACCGCUUUUCUGGGGAAAGAGCAAGGACGGUACCUCAGGAAUAAGUCUCGGCUAACUACGUGCCAGCAGCCGCGGUAAAACGUAGGAGGCGAGCGUUAUCCGGAUUUACUGGGCGUAAAGCGCACGCAGGCGGCUCCGUGAGUCGGACGUGAAAGCUCUCGGCUUAACCGGGAGAGGCCGUUCGAUACUGCGGGGCUUGAGGUAGGGAGAGGAAUGCGGAAUUCCCGGUGUAGUGGUGGAAUGCGUAGAUAUCGGGAGGAACACCUGUGGCGAAAGCGGCAUUCUGGCCCUCACCUGACGCUGAGGUGCGAAAGCGUGGGUAGCAAACAG
rnacentral:rRNA from 1 species